ensembl:lncRNA
UUACAAAGCGUAAAAUUUAUGGAGCCAUAAAAAAUAAAUGAACAAACAUAUGGACAAACAAAUAAGCGAACAAUUACCUACAGAAUGUAAAUAAAAAAACUGAACAGUUAAAUAGUAAAAAUAAAAAGGAACAAAUUACAUAAAAAAUACAAAAGUAAAUCAAUGGAAUAAGUUUUAAGUUAAAAAUAAUAAUAAUAAUAAUAAUAAUAAUAAUAAUAAUAAUAAUAAUAAUAAUAAUAAUAAUAAUAAUAAUAAUAAUAAUAAUAAUAAUAAUAAUAAUAAUAAUAUAAUAAUAAUAAUAAUAAUAAUAAUAAUAAUAAUAAUAAUAAUAAUAAUAAUAAUAAUAAUAAUAAUAAAUAAAUAAAUAAAUAAAUAAAUAAAUAAAUAAAUAAAUAAUGUUUUAAAUUAAAAAAAAAAAAAAAAAAAAAUUCAAUUUUUUUUUGUUUUUACACUUUUAGCAAAUCAUCAAACAACCUAAUAUUUUAUUUUUACAUGUGUAUAUAUAAUACGAUUUUGUUAUAUAUAAUAAUGUUUUUGCUUUGGGAAGUAUUAUAUUAUUUUCACAUAACACUAUUUUCUUAUAAUAUAUACAUUUAGAGAGUUUUGUAUUAAAACAAAAAAAAAGAAAAAAAAAAAAAAUGAUUACAUACUCAGAAUACCUUGAUGAAUAUGUGAAAGACUUAAAUAAUAAUCUUUUUCAAAUAAAACAGUUAAUUUUUAACACCAAAGGUCCAUCAGAUUACCAUAAACUUCAAGAUUAUAUUUUAGAAGCUGAAAAAUGUAUAAAACAAAUUAAUCUAGAAAUAAAUAGUUUACCGAAAGGGUCACAUAAAAUUUUUGACGAAAUAAAUAAACAAAGUUUAGAGCUAAAACAGUAUAAAAACAUUUUGGAAAAAAUGAAUAGCGAUUAUUAUUCUAAUAAAUUUGUUAGAAAGCAAAAAAAAAAAAAAAAAAAAAAAAAAAAAACUGUUAAAAACGAAUUAAAUUUUUUUUUGUUUUUAUCGUUAAAUUUUCAAUGUCCAUUUUUCAUUUUUAUUUAUUUUUGACCUCUCCAUUACACAGAUCAACAGUCGAGAUAAAGACGUUACAAAAAAAUAUAUAGAGGGAGUAAAUAUUCUGAGAGAUUCUGAAAAGUAUAAAAAAAAAUAUAUAUAUAUAUAUAUAUAUAUAUUGAUACAGCUUAAAUUACUUUUACUUUUUACUAACAACAAAUUUUA